UUUAUCCUUUAUUUGGGUUGGAGUUGACAUUUAACAACACUGACCUAAUUGCUUCUUCUUGGAUACAUAGUCCAAGAUUGGAGCUUGGAUGGCAAUCAACGCCAGCACGCUUUGAUACUGUAUGGGAGGAGCAACCCAACCUAUAAUGGAAGCCAGCGUUGUUGGGACUCUUUCUCUCCCAAAAAAGAUCAAAUUUGUAUGGGUUCAGAUACUAUAAUAUAAUCCUUAACAGAAGCACCAGAGAAACCCAUCAAAUGCUCUAAUGGAGGUCUCUAUGCAAUUCACAGUUUAUAGUUAUUCAGGUUGAUACAAAAGAAAAAGAAGUUGUAAAGUUGUUAGCAGGCUUGGAUAAGAUGAUCAGUUCAGCUAAUUCCUUUGCAAAGCUGAUAUAUAUAUGCACAAGCAAAUCCAUGUUUAAUUGGUUGGAGCUAAGAGGAGAUUGGAGAUGAGUCAAAGAUUUUAUUUGAAUCUGGAUAGAAUUAAAGGCUACGCCGUCAUCAAGCUCCGCCCAUCUUCUUCAUCCGUCGCUGGCAUUCGUCAUUACCUAGAUCUGAGAUGGAGCGAUCUUCAGAACUAGGAGGGUAUGGCUUCCCCCUGGACAUAAGAAGAAUAAAGGAAAGAAAGAAUCUUUUGCAAAGAAUUCUCAGUCAACUCCAAGCUUCACACAUGAACAAUAUCCAAAACUCUUGGCUCUCUUAAAAAGGGUGAAACUCAACCAAAGGUAAAUGUUGCAAGUUCAAUUAUCCCUUUUCAUCCUCAUGCUAUAUUAAUUCAAAAACUCCUGGGAAUUGGAUUAUUGAUAGUGCUACCACAGAUCAUAUGGUUUCAUCAUCCAAGUUAUUACUAGACACAAAAAUAUCCUCAUAUUCAUCCGUUGGAUUACCUAAUGGAAAUAAAGCACAAAUUACUUCA